GAUGAACGCUGGCGGCGUGCCUAAUACAUGCAAGUCGAGCGAACAGACGAGGAGCUUGCUCCUCUGACGUUAGCAGCGGACGGGUGAGUAACACGUGGAUAACCUACCUAUAAGACUGGGAUAACUUCGGGAAACCGGAGCUAAUACCGGAUAAUAUAUUGAACCGCAUGGUUCAAUAGUGAAAGACGGUUUUGCUGUCACUUAUAGAUGGAUCCGCGCCGCAUUAGCUAGUUGGUAAGGUAACGGCUUACCAAGGCAACGAUGCGUAGCCGACCUGAGAGGGUGAUAGGCCACACUGGAACUGAGACACGGUCCAGACUCCUACGGGAGGCAGCAGUAGGGAAUCUUCCGCAAUGGGCGAAAGCCUGACGGAGCAACGCCGCGUGAGUGAUGAAGGUCUUCGGAUCGUAAAACUCUGUUAUUAGGGAAGAACAAAUGUGUAAGUAACUAUGCACGUCUUGACGGUACCUAAUCAGAAAGCCACGGCUAACUACGUG
rnacentral:rRNA from 1 species